rnacentral:rRNA from 1 species
UACGUAGGGGGCAAGCGUUGUCCGGAAUCAUUGGGCGUAAAGCGCACGUAGGCGGCUCCAAAAGUCGGAUGUGAAAUCCCUGGGCUCAACCGAGGAAGUGCAUCCGAAACUGCGGAGCUUGAGUAUGGAAGAGGGUCGCGGAAUUCCCGGUGUAGAGGUGAAAUUCGUAGAUAUCGGGAGGAACACCAGUGGCGAAGGCGGCGACCUGGGCCAAUACUGACGCUGAGGUGCGAAAGCGUGGGGAGCAAACAGG